GUACAAAUGAAUAUUGCUAAAGAGGGCUAAUAAUAUUGACCUAAUAUAUUCAACAGUACAUCUUGUUUGAGUAAGAACAAGUGGAGGACAAGUAUUGUGAAUUUUUUGUUUUUUAUUUUGGGGUGAACUGUCCCUUUAAAGACAGUCAGCAUGAAACUCAAGAUCUGAAGUCCUGCCGGAGCACAUGAUCACCAGGAUUUUAAUCAAACAUCUGCAUGAAAUCAGCAACAGUGGGAUGUUCAGUAGCAAGGCUGUAAAUCUAAAUGUUGGUGCUAUUGGGAAGCGAACGCUGACAAACAAGCGUUUCUGAACUGUUUGGGAGAGACGCCGCAAACAAGAAACCCGAAAAGCGGCACACAAAUGUUUUAUUCAUAGCGUGUAGCCAGCUGGGGCAUUUGAAUGCAGGAGCAGCUGCGGUGCUAGGCUGAUCCACGCUGCGCUUGGCAAGCGAAUAUCGUCUCUCUCUUAGCGGCCGCUCACACCGGGAUGAUUCCCGCUCCGGGACGAUGAAGACAGGAGCCCACGACACACUCUGACAGACCAGCGCUUGGGUUUCAGGCUGCGGAGGGCGCGAGUCGUGAACUGGGACAGCAAACAGGUGUAAAGAAGGUGAUCCCGCGGCUGGUGUCCUGAUGUUUACCUGAGAUCUGCAGUCUGAGCAGAAACGUCAGCGCUCGCCGCCGGAAACACACACUGUAGAGCAGAAGAAGAAGAAGAG